rnacentral:rRNA from 1 species
GAAACUCGUAUUAAUACCGCAUACGACCUACGGGAGAAAGGGGGCAGUUUACUGCUCUCGCUAUUAGAUGAGCCUAAGUCGGAUUAGCUAGAUGGUGGGGUAAAGGCCUACCAUGGCGACGAUCUGUAGCUGGUCUGAGAGGAUGAUCAGCCACACCGGGACUGAGACACGGCCCGGACUCCUACGGGAGGCAGCAGUGGGGAAUAUUGGACAAUGGGGGAAACCCUGAUCCAGCCAUGCCGCGUGUGUGAAGAAGGCCUUUUGGUUGUAAAGCACUUUAAGCAGUGAAGAAGACUCUUCGGUUAAUACCCGGAGACGAUGACAUUAGCUGCAGAAUAAGCACCGGCUAACUCUGUGCCAGCAGCCGCGGUAAUACAGAGGGUGCAAGCGUUAAUCGGAAUUACU